rnacentral:snoRNA from 1 species
GUCCGAUGAUGAUAUUGCCAAACAGGGCUUCUCUCAGAAACCAUUCGCAGGGCCCGUCUAGAGCUUUCGCCUUCGCCGGGCUUGAGAGCUGUUGCGGCUUUAUCCUUCCUUGGAUGUCUGAGGAC